AUAUCUUUUUUCGUCCUUUUCGAUACGAUAUCCUUCAAUUUUUUUUCUGAAUUCUAUUGACAAUAAAAUUCUGGGAAGCUACCUGGAAGCGUGAGUCGUUUGCUACACUCUCAAUAUAUUUAAAUAACAUUUAAAAACAAAAUAUGCCUGGCCAGACCCGAGGAUCUCGAUGAGGGUUAAGGUUGUGUGUUCUCUUCCAUCCGGACGACAUGAUGUAAGCAUGCAACAGCUGCUCAUAAAAGGCAUUUUUGAUCAUAUCGUCCUCCUCUUCCAACGAGUCAUGGACGCAAAUUAGUAUUACGUUGAAAAAUUUUACUCUGAUGGUCAUUGUAGGAAUGGAGUAUAGUCUACCACUAUAACUGCAUACCCAGAAGCAUGACUACACGCCAUUACAAUCCAAACAACAACUCUCAAAGAACAAAGGAUAAAACAAAAUUUUCCACUCUACAAAUAAUUUUAAUUAUUACUUAGUGGGAAUGAUAAGACAUUUAUGGCCCCUCUAUGGCACGGACUGACGGACGCCUAAGCUGCCCUGGAGUCUCAGUUUUGUCACGAUUGAGGCUGCCGCUUCGCUGACAGCUUUCCAGUUCUCAGUGGACUGACACAUGAGUGUCGUAGAAUUUACUGUAAAACCACCGACCGAAGAGAAAAACUUAAAACCACCGAGUGUAAGUAGUUCUAAGUUUUUCACUUGUACUUAGAAAGCAAGGACAAUAAAAGAAUACAUGCGCAGAGUCUUCAAAGCACUCUAAAGCACCCAUGUCCACUUAGUAUUUGGGUUAGAUGGAGAUCCAGGUUCUCUUGACUAUCCACGAAUGGAUGUUCGAUAUCAGUCUGUGGGUCCACCGACGUUUGAGUGAGGUUUGCCACCGCUGCUGUCAUAUUGCUAAGCGUUUGACUCUCUCUUCUCUUUUUGGCGGAAAGCACUGCUUUGUCUAAGAAAGAAACAAUAUUUUUAUAAAUUUCAAAACCAGAAAGUUUAGUUUUAACACUGAUUCGGUCGGUAAUGAACUAACAGAACUCACUUUACUUAAAAAAGGAACCUAUUUACUGGUGUAUUACAGGUGUAUUCUAUAUUUGAGAAAAAAACUGUAAAAUACCAAAAGAGAUUAAUCUUGAAUUGAAAAAAACUUAUUUUAUUUGGUUUAAAACCACGCUGUGGUAUUUUCUCUCUCUUUAUCUUUUUCGUUCUCACGAAUAAGUCUAUCUAUGACACACACAUGCACAUAAUAAUAAAGGUGUGCGGCUUAACUUAGUACAUUUGAAGAGAAAGUAUGGUUCAAUGCCGCACUAAGGUAGUUUUCUUUCUCGCUCUCACGAACAAGCAUAUCUACGAUAUGUGCAUGAUGUAUGUGUAUGUACGAAGCAAGUAAUCAUAAUAGUAUCCCUCGAGUUCUUAAAUAUGUUUGGAAUAAAAUAAUUUACUGACAAAAGCAUCUUGUUUAAGAUAAUUCAUAUUUUUCUAUAGAAUCUUAUAUAAUUUUUUUUAGUAGCGCUGCGUUGUCAUUUAGAGUUAGAUAAAAGGCAGUUUUGAUUUGCGUUUUGCGCCAUGGGUAGGCACAAAGUUAAGUGAUUUGUACAUGGUGUUUUUCUCCUCAAGAUGCUGUUCCAUUGUCGGAACCGCCUAGCUGCCGUUCAAAGUGUACGACCAAAAUCAUGUCCUUGUUUGAAACAAUUUGUUCAUUUGACAGAAUAUCUAGAUGAAAUUGGGAACUGAUUAUUAUCGAAUUUACCGUAACAAUCUCUAUUAACCAGUCCAGUCCAUCAGUCCACUAUAGCGUAUAGCGGCCAUACAAAAUGAGCGAUCAAAAUCAAGUUUUUGUAUGGAAUUUUUCGUAAUUGGAAGGCUAAUAUAGAUUCGGUGGAACCGAGGUUAAGCUUUUUUUCUAUUUUUCUUUUAAUAUGAUUUAUUUGCACUUCUUUUUCAAAGGGUUUCAACCUACUAUGACUUCUUUAUCAACUUCUAUCUUUCUCAAAGGCUGGUGGAGUAUGAAAAUAUGUGCUUGAGCUUCACUAAAGAGAAGGUAUCAAACUUCAGAGAUUUUAAAGGAUUAUUGGUUGUUAAUAAAUUUUUAAAAAAUAAUUAUUGAAAUUCAGAAUAAAUUUACUUAACAUUUUAUUUGUACAAGAAAAGAAUAGUAUAUAUGUACAAACAGUAAUCUACACAUCAAAUAAAAAAAGCAAUGUUAAACGCUGCUUGUAUGAUAUGAAAGACUGUAUGCACACAAUUCAAUGCUAUUAAGCAGAAAUUAUGUAAAAGAUGGUAUAUCGAAAGCUUCAGCAUAUAAUGUAAAUAAAUCAUUUUUAAGAACUGUAAAUAUAUAUAAUUAAACAUGAAUGAAUGAGUGAAUAAAUAUCUAAAACUAAUACCAUAUACAUACUAGGCAACUAACGGAAACUUAUACCAAAAAGUCGCUAUCUGGAUUGCAGAACAAAAUUCAAAAUCAAACCUUAAUUUAAAUUAUGAUUAAGUGUAACUGAGUUAAGUAAUACUUAAAAAUAUAUUAGAGAAAGUGGUUAGGUUAAAUGAAUUGAUUCCAAAAAAUCAUUAACAUACAUAUCAUGCAAUGCGAUUCAAGUUAAAAUUGUUAUAAACAAAAGUGAAAAAAAAAUCAUAAAUUAAAAAAAAAAUUAUCAAAAAUUAGUAGCUCAUGAAAUAUACACACAAGUAUUAUAUACGUGUAUAUACAUAUAUAAAUAUAUAUAUAUUCAAAAGUUGUUCAUAUACAUACAUAUAUAUAGUACAUACUUGCCAUAUAUAAAAGGGUAGUUAUGAGAAGAAUUGCUACAAAAACGUUAAAUUAUAUAUAAAAACACAUAUGUAUGUAUAUCUGUGUAAGCUUCGUGGCUUAAGCAAAAAAUUGCUCCAACCCUCUUUGCCCCGCCUGAAAUUGCUACGGAGUUAAUAAGUGAGUAAAAGACAACAAAAAGAAAUUGCUAAAAUAAGAUUAUAUAAAUAAAUGCUAAAUUAUAUAUUAGUUGACAAAUUAAUACAUUAUAAAUAUAUAUAUUAGUGCGUAAUAUUGAAAGUUUAUUACUGUUUGCAUGUUUGCAAAACUAUAUUCAAAAUAUUACAUAAUGUUUUACGAUCAUUUCAUUUAGUAAUAAUAUAAACAUACAUGUGUAUGUAUACAUUGUAUGCAAAAUAGUACUAAGUCUAUAAUUUGAGCUGUUUACUCAGUGAAGUACUAUAUAACACAAUGAUUAUUUGUAUGAAUGCUAUAUGAAAAUAAUAAAGGAAAAAUUGUUUAGAGCAAAAAAUUAAAGCAUAAAAUUUAA